CACAAGAUUUCUUUGAUCAUCAUGAAAUGUAUGUUUGACAAAAAUAUUAAUAUUAUAAAUAUAAGUCAUAAAAUUAUUAAUACAUUUGACAAAAAGAUAAUCUAUCAAAUCUAACUAAAAAAUAACUAACUUGCAAUGUGAAAUAUCAUUCAAUAUUAAUAAAAUAAAUGAAACUGAAAAUAUAACAUAAGUUUUAAAUGCUAAAUAAAUUUUUUAGCAUAAUACUACUCUUAUGUCAAAUUUCAACAUAACGUACAUAAAUAUGAUUUAAAAGAAAACAAAAGCGUAAGGCUAUAACUUUAUUCAAUAAUAACUUCUACUUUAAUUUAAAAAUUAGAAAACCAAAAAAAUUAUACUAAUGAAAAAAAUAAACAUAAAAUUAAAAAAAGGGUAAUACAAAAUAUUGCACAGAAUCACAUGAAGUAAAAGUUGAGAAUGAGAAUGACAUGAAAUAUAAAUAAUAAAACUAAAAAAUAUUUUUUUUUUAAAAAAAUAUUAGAAUAAUAAGAUUUAAAAUAGUAACAAAAAUAAAUUAAAAUAAAAAGAUAAAAAAUAUAAAUAAAAGGAAAAACUAAAAAGUAAUCAGCAUAUAAUUAUACUAUGUACAAUAGACCCUUGUGGUAGCGGGAGCUUUAGUACACCGGGCUACCCUUUAUAUAAUUAUACUAUGUAAUUACACCAAUUCGCAGCCUUCUCCUGAGAAUUAGAGAGUGUUAUUACCUCCUGUCAAUUACACUCAAUUACCUGAUGACUAAGGGGUGUUCAAAACCGAACCAUAACCGAUAAGCCAACCGCAAAAUUGGCUUAUUGGUAUUGGAUUAUCAAAUAAAACAUUGGGUAACGGAUUAAAAUUUUAUAAUUAACGGUUUAUUGGUGUGGGACAGAUUGUUAAAUUUUCUUAUCGGAUAAAUUGUUAACCCAUUAAGAAUUACCAUAUACUUACACUUCUUUUUCAGUCUUUAGCCAAUUGACACGAGUUUUUUACUCUGGUUGUGUGCAAUUCUGUAAAAAUAUGAGUCACCAAGUUAAAGCCAACGUAUUCUUGACUUUUGCUUGUAUGGUAUACCAUCUCUUCAAUCAGCUCCACUCUUUCAAUGUCAACUUAAGUUCUUUCUCAUUGUCAAAUAGUUUACGAACUUCUUAUAGGUUAUCCGAUACACCGUUCGAUAAUUGGUAAUCCGUUAUCGAAUCAAUCGAUAUCUUAUAGGUUGGCUAGCGAACUAGUAAAUUUAAAAAGCGAUAUCCGAUAGGUUAAACCGUUAAGUGAAAUUAUCCGGCCAAUCCGCCCGAUAAGCAGCCCUACUGCUGACCAUGUAAUUACAUGGCCAACCAAAUAUGUCAGACAGUGUAAUUACACCAAAUUCAAUUACUAGAGUGGCUUUCCAAACAGGUCCUAAGACAAAUUUUUUAGAGUCUCCAAAUAUUGUAUCCAUUUUUUUCUGUAAUAUUCGUGGAGCUGUUUUUAAUAUUCUAUACACAAUCUAAUUUAUCUUUUAGAAUAUUAUCAGAAUGUAUUAUAGAUAGACCUCAUAAAUGAUUAGUAGACAAUUUAUUGAUAGCAUAUAAUAAAAAAGAUAAUAAAUAUUUUAUAGCAGCAUUAAAUGUAUUAUGUCAAUACUUUACAGAUAAAGUAGAGAAAAUAAAUUUAAAUACUAUGUAGUUAUACACGAAAAAAACUAAUGAUAUUUUUCAGACAUGGAUAAAGGUAUUAGACUCUAUAAAAGGAAUGCAAAAACCACUUUUAAAAGGUUUUAAUGAAGCUUUAGACAAAGCCAAAAUUGAAGUCAUACUCCAAGAAAACACCAGAUUAAUGGCGCAGGUAAGGCACUAAAAGGCAAAGUCACAUCCCUACACACGAAUGAUAGUCAGAAGACUGUAGAAUCGAGUUGUUUAUCUCUAGAAAAAAUGGAUGAGAAACAAAAUGCAAAGAAAUUCACUAUAUCGAAUGUAGAUACAGCUAGUUUAGGUCAAACGGUAAUCGGUAAAGACAAACAAAAUUUGUUUAUGGUUGUCACUUUGCCAAAAAGUGAAGAUGAAGAUUCUUCAUCCAGACGAAGACUACCAAGAACAUUAACUCUAGGAGAAGUACUAAAAAAGAAAAACAUACUCUCCAAAAAGAAAAACAAAUAACAAAAUAGAAGGUAUAAUUAAAUAAACUUUAGAAAAUUUCUUUAAGGACAAAGAACAUGAUAAACAAAUAAUUAGCAAGAACAAUCCCAAUCCAGACAAAUUUAAUCACAAUCCAAAUCCGGAAAGAUCCAAAACCCAAAGCUCAAGAGAAGAUCAAGAUGGUGCAAAUUCAUAUUCUCCAGAUGUUCAAGACCCAAAUAAAGAUAAUGAUUUCGGAAUGAGUUUUGACUCAAUUGCACUACAUAAUUUUGAUACAUAAACCGUGCAUAAAAGUACAAGAGAAAGACGGACUAGGCCGCAGACAAAAUACUGUAGCAACAUGGGAAAAAUCCAGAAAUAAUUGAGAACACUGUAUAAGGAGACACUUGGAUCAAUAAGAUUUGGACGAAAUUCAAAGCAAAGAGACAAGAAGAAGACAGAAAGUGACAAAAGAUAAAAAGUAGCAUAUGUGAAUGGACGAAAACUAAAGAGGCUGUAAAUAACAGAGUAUGUCAUAUGAGUAUGAGUAUGUUCACAUUUAUCGUGUGAGUGAUUACUUUAUUACUAUUUGACGGGAAAAACUAACAAGCACACAUCAUUCCAAAAUAAAAAAAAAAAUAAUGCAUGUCACGAUAGAGUUCAAUGAGCACCUGAUCUGUAUUAUAAUUGAAUUUUAUCUACCAGAUGUAUUUAGGGCCACUACUUUUAUUUUCUUUGAAAACAAACUCGAGAAGAUAAGGCAUCUAUAUAAGGAUCCUUUCUUCAUUCGUAAAAACACACGAGCAGAGAACCAAGAAACCACAGCAUAUUCCUCUUUUCUUUUCCCCAUGUUUUUUACAAUUCUUCUCCUAAAAUCUACCCUCUUUGUGUAAUCCAGCUUUAUAUAAUAACAAGUGUGAUUAUUAAAAGUUCAAGUUUGUAAGAGUCUGUUGGGGUUCCCAAAAUGAAAAUCUCUCUUAGUCAGAAUCAUGUUUCGAGCUCGGACAGUUAUACAACUUUCUCUUCUUCAUCCGAGGCUAUUGGAGGAUACUUGUGAGGUUAUUGUCGACGCUAGCAAUCUAUCUUGUCUAUUUUUAUUAUGCUUUGUUCUAUUUGAGAAACAAAGACAUCGAGACUUGUAAUUAUCUUUCAUUUUCGUUCUGCUAUAGACUUGCACAUGUGACAAUUAGUCUUUGAGGUAGUAUAGUUGACUUAGAGCCAGUUUAGAUUAGCUUAUUUUAAGUGCUUUAAAGCUAAAAUAGCUUUAAAGCACUUUUGGAGUGUUUGGGUAAUUAAAGAUACUUAUAAGCACUUAGUUUUAAACUAAAAUGCUAAAAUUAAGCCAAAAGUUAUAAGAUAAAAUUUUUAAUUUAUGGCUUUUGACUUAUAAGUUAAAAAUGAAAAGUCAAUCCAAACAGACUCUAAGACUUUCGCUUUUCGUAUCUUUAUCUAUUGAAAUUGCUUCCGCAUCAUAUUUUCUGUAUUUCGCUGGAUUUAACUGACUUAUCCAGUAAGAAAUGAUAAGUGUUAUCUUGCCCGGAUUUAAAUUGUGACUUAAGGUAUCGACCUUUCCUA